rnacentral:lncRNA from 10 species
AUUCUUUUUUAUUUUUUAUUUUUUAGAGGCAGUAUCUCACUAUGUUGCCCAGGCUGGGUCUCGAACUCCUGGCCUCAAGCGAUCCUCCCACAUCAGCUUCCUGAAGUGCUGGGAUUACAGGUGUGAGCCACCGCACCUGACCCAGAUGUGCGUUUUAAAAUUCAUUGCAAACACAAAGAUAUUGGGAUAUUUCAGGAAAAAAUCUGAAGUCCUAGCUUCUUUCAGAGUCAGAGGAUCCAGCCACUGUGGGUUCCCAAUGGCACCUGGUAUCAGUCAGCAGGAGCUAAGGGCAGCUGCCCAGGGACCAGGACCCCACCCAGCCUCAUCACUCACUGCCAUGGCCUGCUGGCUACAAGGGCACAUCUGAGCUGCAGCCCCACACGCUCCGCCUGGCUUCGUACCCCAUGCUAGAGCUACAUUGUCCAGUGCGAUGGCCGUGAGGCACAGCACUUAAAAUGUGGCUAGCCCCAAUUGAGAUGUGCUGUAAGUGUGAAUUCACACAGGAUUUUGUAGACUUAAUACCAGAAAAAAGCAUGUAAAAUGUCUCAAUCAUGUUCAUAUUGAUUAUACAUUCAAAUGAUAAUUUUAAUAUAUUCAUUUAAAUAAAAUGUUAUUACAAUUAA